GACCUGCCUGCACCGGGACCUGCCUGCUGCUCCGGGUGCGCCGCCCUCUGCUAGCCGUUAGCACUGUUAGCAGUUUACAGGUUCCGUUUGGAGUCUCCGUGAUGCGGGUCAGACUGACCUGAGACCUGAUGUAGCAGGGACACCUGAUCUGUCGCAACACCGGUGUUUGAGCUGAAGUCGCUGAAAACAGGAAAUAAAGACACAAACAUGAACUCACCUCCGAACCUCCGACCUCAAGUCCAGGCAUCUGAUCCGGAGCCAGUCCAGAGAGCAGCAGAGACCAGUAAAGCCUCUGCGCGCAGCAGGACCGUUCAAACAGCCCGUCUCCUCCUCCUCCUCCUCCUCCUCCUCCUUCUUCUUCUUCUCCUCCUUGUAGCGGCAGACUGGCGCGGUGCUGCCCUCCGCUGUUCCUCUUGUGCUUUUAUCUACAGACACUUUGAGUUCUAAACCCAGCUCUCCUGCUCUGCUGCCAGACCUCCUGUACUUCACAAUUCUUAAAGUAUUGUAAAAGUUUCUUGGAACUACAGUAAUAAAAGAACCAGGAAGUAAAGACGUGAUACAGGAAGCUGAAUUAAACCAUUUCAAGAAGUUUU